ACGGAGGGUGCAAGCGUUAUCCGGAUUCACUGGGUUUAAAGGGUGCGUAGGUGGGUUGGUAAGUCAGUGGUGAAAUCUCCGAGCUUAACUUGGAAACUGCCAUUGAUACUAUCAGUCUUGAAUACCGUGGAGGUUAGCGGAAUAUGUCAUGUAGCGGUGAAAUGCUUAGAUAUGACAUAGAACACCGAUAGCGAAGGCAGCUUACUACAGGUUCAUUGACGCUGAGGCACGAAAGCGUGGGGAGCAAACAGGA
rnacentral:rRNA from 1 species